rnacentral:rRNA from 1 species
AAAGGAUGUGUAGGCGGUAGUGUUAGUCUCUUGUUAAAUUCUUCGGCUUAACCGGGGGCAUGCAAGGGAAACGGCACAACUAGAGGAUGCGAGGGGUCUGCGGAACUCAUAGUGUAGCGGUGAAAUGCGUUGAUAUUAUGGGGAACACCAAAAGCGAAGGCAGCAGACUGGAGCACUCCUGACGCUGAAACAUGAAAGCGUGGGUAGCGAAUGGGAUUAGAUACCCCAGU